GAUGAACGCUGGCGGCGUGCCUAACACAUGCAAGUCGAACGGAGAUUCCGGACGGAAGUUUUCGGAUGGAAGACUGUAAUUCUUAGUGGCGGACGGGUGAGUAACGCGUGGGCAACCUGCCCUAUACAGGGGGAUAGCAGCUGGAAACGGCUGGUAAGACCGCAUAAGUCGGCGAGACCGCAUGGUUUUGCCGGGAAAUGAGCAAUCAGGUAUAGGAUGGGCCCGCGUCCGAUUAGCCAGUUGGCAGGGUAAAAGCCUACCAAAGCAACGAUCGGUAGCCGGACUGAGAGGUCGGACGGCCACAUUGGGACUGAGACACGGCCCAAACUCCUACGGGAGGCAGCAGUGGGGGAUAUUGCACAAUGGAGGAAACUCUGAUGCAGCGACGCCGCGUGAGUGAAGAAGUAUUUCGGUAUGUAAAGCUCUAUCAGCAGGGAAGAUGAUGACGGGACCUGACUAAGAAGCCCCGGCGAACUACGU
rnacentral:rRNA from 1 species